AUCUAUUUCUAUUUAUCUUUUUAGCUCUGAAAUUCCGUGCUGCUGUGUCUGCCUUUUGUAACACAACAGAAGGGAGUUUUGUCUAGUUCCGUGCAAGCGAUUUAAGUCACUUAAGACAAGAAGGCGGCGGAAGUGAAAGGUGUGCUCAACAGCAGAGGAAGCUUCACCUGUCAGCCUGAUAGGAGUCGCACCUCCCCGGAGAGCUGCGUGGGAAUGCUGGGCAGAAAGUCUAUGUUCACUUCAACGGAAAGUUGGCAGCAACAGCAGAAGACUGGAUAAGAUUCUGAGGAAAUUCCAGUCCAUCCCCUGGGACUGUGCAGUAGUGAUCACGGCUGGAGCAGCGACCAGAUCUGACUUUGCUCUCUGUGUCCACCAGACUGUUGUUCCUUCUGAUUUCUCAUUUCCAAACAAUUUUUUCCCAAUCCCCAAAGCCUAGCUGUG
rnacentral:lncRNA from 1 species